rnacentral:rRNA from 1 species
ACGUACACUCCUACGGGAGGCAGCAGUGGGGAAUAUUGCACAAUGGGCGCAAGCCUGAUGCAGCCAUGCCGCGUGUAUGAAGAAGGCCUUCGGGUUGUAAAGUACUUUCAGCGGGGAGGAAGGCAAUACGGUUAAUAACCGUGUUGAUUGACGUUACCCGCAGAAGAAGCACCGGCUAACUCCGUGCCAGCAGCCGCGGUAAUACGGAGGGUGCAAGCGUUAAUCGGAAUUACUGGGCGUAAAGCGCACGCAGGCGGUCUGUCAAGUCGGAUGUGAAAUCCCCGGGCUCAACCUGGGAACUGCAUUCGAAACUGGCAGGCUUGAGUCUUGUAGAGGGGGGUAGAAUUCCAGGUGUAGCGGUGAAAUGCGUAGAGAUCUGGAGGAAUACCGGUGGCGAAGGCGGCCCCCUGGACAAAGACUGACGCUCAGGUGCGAAAGCGUGGGGAGCAAACAGGAUUAGAUACCCGAGUAGUCCCA